rnacentral:rRNA from 1 species
UACAGAGGUCUCAAGCGUUGUUCGGAUUCAUUGGGCGUAAAGGGUGCGUAGGCGGCGCGGUAAGUCGGGUGUGAAAUCUCGGGGCUUAACUCCGAAACUGCAUUCGAUACUGCCGUGCUUGAGGACUGGAGAGGAGACUGGAAUUUACGGUGUAGCGGUGAAAUGCGUAGAUAUCGUAAGGAAGACCGGUGGCGAAGGCGGUUCUCUGGGAAUAUCCUGACGCUGAGGAGCGAAAGUGUGGGGAGCGAACAGG